CACUUGAAAGAAAUUGUGUUCGGGUUCUAGUGUUUUGUGGAAGGUAGAACUUGCAAGAGAUGAAAUAAGAGAUUUAGCUGAAGCGAUUUUGAAGCCAAGUGUUGAAGGAGUGGCCUGGUUUGUCUCGACUGCUUCUAGUAAAAUGUGAAAAAAGAGAAACGGCUCAAAAAUGGAAUUGUUAACCGGAAAGGAAGCAGAGCACAGAACUUAAAGAUUUGGAAAAUUCUGAGCGUAUCCAUAUGCGUAUUGAAGAGAAUGAGAAAGUCCUCAGGGAGAACACGUAGGGUGUGGCCAAGAGACGACUGAUAGGGGGAUUAGUCAGCCAUCUCAAAGAAGCCAGGAACCAUUUUCCAAGACAAUGGAAGACUGCAAAGAAGGCUUUGCUUGUGCCUGACUCUCCCUGGACCACCUCACUUGCCAGCACUCUUUCCUUGGCUGCCCCAGGUGCUGUUCCAGCGCCCGGUAAGGCGUGGGCUGUGCCUGGCAGAGCUUGGGGGCAUGGCUGCCUCCAUCUUGAUUUCAAAGGACAAGGCCUCCCAGCAAAGCCAUGGUCCCAGGUGUUAACCCUGGAGAGCCACUGUGGGGACAGGGCUGCCCAAAGCUGUAGGGGCAGGGCAGCCAGGAGCCAUGGGGCCUCAACCUAGCCCAGCAAAGCUUGGGCAGGAGCACUGCCCCACUGAGUCUGGAGAGCAGAGUAUCAAGGCAAAGAGGAUUAUUCUUGAGGCUUAAGGUCUAAUGGAAUUUGCCUCCUUGGGUUUUGGACUUGCUUAGGCCUUGUCCGUCUUUUCUCCUUUCUUCUUUCUCUCAUCUGGAAUGAGAAUGCCUGUCCUGUGCCUGUCUCACCAUUGUAUUUCAGAAGCACAUAACAUGCUUGACUUCGCAGGUUCACAGUUGGAGAGCAGACUGCCUCAGGACAAAUCAUACCUGAGCCUCGCUCAUAUCUGAUUUAGGUUGAUAUUUAGAUAGGACUGGACCUAGACUUCAAAGUUGAUGCUGGAACCAGUUACGAAUUUGGGGCUAUUUGGACGAUGUAUACAAGAUGUCUUGCAUACAAGAAAGACAUGGAUUUUGGAGGACCAGGAUGGAAUACAAUAGACUGAAUGUGUCCCCCCUCUCCCCCCGCCAAAUUCAUAUGUUGAAACUGAAUCCCCAGUGUGAUGUUAUUUGGAGGUGGGGCCUUUGGGAGGUGAUUCAGUCCUAAGACGAUUAGUCCCUUAUAAAAGAGAUCCCAGAGAGAUCUCUUGCCCCUUCUGCUAGGUGGAGACACACUCUCCUACCUGCUGUCAUGAACCAGGAAAUGAGCUCUCCUAGACACCAAAUCCACCGGCCCCUUAAUCUCAGACAUCCUAGCCUCCAGGACUGUGACAACUAAAUGUGCAUUGUUCGUAAGCCACUGAGUCUAUGGUAUUUUUGUUAUAGCAGCUGGAAUGGACUAAGACAACUGUCUUUUCAUUAUUAAGUUAUAUUAUUUAUUACUGUUUGGAACUGUCAGGGCUAUUAAUUCUAAUAGUCGAAUCAAUUUUCCAGUGUUUUGUUGUUGUUGUUGCUAAAACAGACCAUCAUAACUGAAAAUAUUUUAUGAAUGGUCAAUUUACUUUGCUAUUUCUCUCAAUUUUUCAAGUUAGCCUGAUGAGAGAGAGAGCAAGAGAGGGAGCGCAUGUGCACAGUUGCCUGUGCGUACCUGAACAAAAGGUUCACAAAUCAGUAUUGCCUUCAUUUUUCUUAAAGUACGUGCUCUGGGAAAUGAAAAAAAAAAAAAGGUUUAUGAGUUGCUUUGGAAUGUUGCAUUUUAUUUAUUUUUUUAUUUAAAAAAAUUUUUUUUAACGUUUUUAUUUAUUUUUGAGACAGAGAGAGACAGAGCAUGGACAGGGGAGGGGCAGAGAGAGAGGGAGACACAGAAUCAGAAGCAGGCUCCAGGCUCUGAGCCAUCAGCCCAGAGCCCGACGCAGGGCUCGAACUCACGGACCGUGAGAUCGUGACCUGAGCUGCAGUCAGACGCUUAACCGACUGAGCCACCCAGGCGCCCCUGGAAUGUUGCAUUUUAAAAUUGAAUGAAAAGUAUCCCAUCUUGGCAUAUGGUACCGCCUCAAAAUAUUCUUAAGAACUUUGUAGUAGAAAGAUUAAAAAAAAAACUUUUUUUAGAAUCAUUUAUAGAUUACUUGGAGAACAUACAUUUUAGGACAGUUCUCAAAUAUAAUUAUAUGCAUUUUGGCUGCCAAGGUCAUUGUCAUCCACCCUAAAGAAAAGAUUCAAUGCUUUCUUGGGUGUUGAAUUUCUUCUUGGUGUCUUAUCAGAGCUUUGUAGGGCUGUGACUGUCAUCCUGCCUGCUUAUGUCCUAAAAACCCUGGCAGCAGUACUGGCAAUGGUAACAUCCAUUUAUUUCCGCAGUGUGAGAAAUAAGAAGGUACUUAUUAAAACAGGGGUCAGAAUUUUUUUUUUUCCUAUAAAGGACCAGUUGUGAAUAUGUUGGGCUUUCUAGGGUACAAAGUUACCGUCAUAACUACUCAACUCUGCUUUUGCAGCACAAAGGCGGCCAUAGACCAUAGGUAACUGAAUAUGCAUAACUCUGUUCCAAUAAAGCUUUAUUUAUAAAAACAGGUGGUUAGCUGGAUUUGGGCCAUGGUUCCCACUUUGCAGACCACCACUCUAAAGUCUGAUAGAGAGGAGAUAACUACAAGUAUACGUGUUUUGGAAUUUGAAGUUGGAAGUUGUCUCCUCCUGGAACUCUUAAGGAACACAAAAGAUUUGCGAAACAGGUGUAUUUUUUCAUUAAAACGUAGGAAUUAUGAUUGCUAUCAAAUUGCUUUCGUUGCUUAGAUAAAUCGUGAUUGAAGUCCUUCUGACCCAUUGUUUUGGGGCAAAAUCCACUCCCAGUCUGUGGCAGAGAACGGCAGAAAGAAUUAGAAAACCAUUUAUGGUAAACUCUUAAGGGACAGCAUUACUAAUUUGUGCAUGUGGCAGUUUAGUAUGUAUGUGAAAACUACCCGCUUAAAGACAUCUCUCUUCUUCAUUACAAUAGCAUGUCCAACUUUAGCAUAUGGAAGCAUUUCUGCAGUGUAAGUUAUUCUGAGGAAAAGACAUGAUUUGUAAAUGCUGUCAAGUAAACUAUGCUUUUCUAAGUGCGGCUCGGGUGACUGGAUACAUCUCUGUAAAAACUGUCCCACAAUAGUGCGGGAAAAGCAGACACCGGGGCAGAGUGUAAGCAACCCUUUUCAGGUACUUUUUUUUUUUUUUUAAUUUUUUAAUGUUUAUGUAUUUUUGAGAGAAAGAGAGACAGAGCACGAGCAGGGGAGGGGCAGAGAGAAGAGGGAGAUACAGAAUCCGAAACAGGCUCCAGGCUCUGAGCUGUCAGCACAGAGCCCAAUGCCGGGCUCGAACUCAUGAACCAUGAGAUCGUGAUCUGAGCCGAAGUCAGACGCUUAACUGACUGAGCCACCCAGGUGCCCCCAGGUAUUUCUAUCCAGCUGUCUUCCUCUUCCUCCUGCAACAAGGACACUAUCACAAAGGAUUGCUCAACCUCUAUUCUUGGAAUUGUUAAUGACCCUUGGCAAAUUUUUAAAACUUUCUGUGGCUUCAUUUGCAGAUAAGGUAAGACCAAGAGCAGGGAAAAAAAAAAAAAAACUUGACCGAGAUUUUAAUCAAAAUCAUAUGUUAUUAAUAAGGGAAACUGUGUAGAUUGUAGAAAGCUUUUAAGUUAAUGAAACUGUUUUACUGUCUUCCCAACAGACACUGACUGAGCAAGUUGCUUUUCUAAGUCGUAAUAUGUAUAGUCAACAUCAUCUGUUUAGGAAAGAGCUGCGAAACAUGUUUUUUCCUACAAAUGAAAAAACAUGCGUAUACCUAACUCACAACUGCUCAAUGAGUUUUUUUUUAAGUUUACUUUUUAAAUUAAAAGUAUGCACGUGCAUUAUAAAGAAUUUAGAAAACAAUGAAAAACUAGAAGGAAAUAAAAGCUCACCCCUUGGGCCCCCAGCUCUUCAACCUGUUAUUUAUAGAAGCUUUCAAACAAAAAGAACAGAGACACUGUAGAAUGAAGUGAGGGUGAAGUAAAAUAUUUGUUUUGCUAACUGAUUAGCAAGUCACAAUGUGAACAGCCGGGGACCUUGUGAUGGCUUUAGGACCUACUAUUAAUGUAGUAAGAUGUGCAGCCAAUGCCUUCAAAUUGCCUCUAGACAGUGUCAUAUGAUUGGAUGUUGAACAGAAAGCCGAUAGAAGGGCAAAAAGAAGUUGAGCUGUGUAACAUUUCUCAUACCGUUGCAGCUGUAUUCAAGGAGAAGAAAGGAAAAAAUCAUAAUGUUUUUAGAAGGAAACAUGAAAAUAUCCACAUUAGGGGCACCUGGGUGGCUCAGUUGGUUGAGUGUCUGACUUCGGCUCAGGUCAUGAUCUCGCCGUUCGUGGAUUCAAGCCCCACAUCGGGCUCUGUGCUGAGUCGGUGUGGAGUCUGCUUGGGAUUCUCUCUCUCCUUAUCUCUGACCCAACCCUGCUUGUGUUCUCUCUCUCUCUC